AGACGUCUACAUUAGAUACCCCUGUAGUCCCAGCCGUAAACUAUGCGCGUUAGGUGUAUCGGUGACCACGAGUCACCGAGGUGCCGAAGGGAAACCGUGAAACGUGCCGCCUGGGAAGUACGGUCGCAAGGCUGAAACUUAAAGGAAUUGCGGGGGAGCACCACAACAGGUGGAGCCUGCGGUUUAAUUGGACUCAACGCCGGGAAGCUCACCGGAUAGGACAGCAGAAUGAUUGCCGGGCUGAAGACCCUGCAUGACUAGCUG
rnacentral:rRNA from 1 species